rnacentral:rRNA from 1 species
AGUGAACGCUGGCGGUAGGCCUAACACAUGCAAGUCGAACGGCAGCACAGUAAGAGCUUGCUCUUACGGGUGGCGAGUGGCGGACGGGUGAGGAAUACAUCGGAAUCUACUUUUUCGUGGGGGAUAACGUAGGGAAACUUACGCUAAUACCGCAUACGACCUACGGGUGAAAGCAGGGGGCUUUGGACCUUGCGCGAUUGAAAGAGCCGAUGUCGGAUUAGCUAGUUGGCGGGGUAAAGGCCCACCAAGGCGACGAUCCGUAGCUGGUCUGAGAGGAUGAUCAGCCACACUGGAACUGAGACACGGUCCAGACUCCUACGGGAGGCAGCAGUGGGGAAUAUUGGACAAUGGGCGCAAGCCUGAUCCAGCCAUACCGCGUGGGUGAAGAAGGCCUUCGGGUUGUAAAGCCCUUUUGUUGGGAAAGAAAAGCAGCAGGUUAAUACCCCGCUGUUCUGACGGUACCCAAAGAAUAAGCACCGGCUAACUUCGUG